AUGAACGCUGGCGGCGUGCCUAAUACAUGCAAGUCGAGCGAACGGACGAGGAGCUUGCUUUUCUGAUGUUAGCGGCGGACGGGUGAGUAACACGUGGAUAACCUACCUAUAAGACUGGGAUAACUUCGGGAAACCGGAGCUAAUACCGGAUAAUAUUUUGAACCGCAUGGUUCAAAAGUGAAAGACGGUCUUGCUGUCACUUAUAGAUGGAUCCGCGCUGCAUUAGCUAGUUGGUAAGGUAACGGCUUACCAAGGCAACGAUGCAUAGCCGACCUGAGAGGGUGAUCGGCCACACUGGAACUGAGACACGGUCCAGACUCCUACGGGAGGCAGCAGUAGGGAAUCUUCCGCAAUGGGCGAAAGCCUGACGGAGCAACGCCGCGUGAGUGAUGAAGGUCUUCGGAUCGUAAAACUCUGUUAUUAGGGAAGAACAUAUGUGUAAGUAACUGUGCACAUCUUGACGGUACCUAAUCAGAAAGCCACGGCUAACUACGUG
rnacentral:rRNA from 1 species